CCGUGAUCGUGGUCUGCAGC
rnacentral:siRNA from 1 species